GACGUAGGGCGCGAGCGUUGUCCGGAUUUAUUGGGCGUAAAGAGCUCGUAGGCGGCUUGUCGCGUCGACUGUGAAAACCCGUGGCUCAACCAUGUGGUCUGCAGUCGAUACGGGCAGGCUAGAAUUCGGUAGGGGAGACUGGAAUUCCUGGUGUAGCGGUGAAAUGCGCAGAUAUCAGGAGGAACACCCGUGGCUAAGGCGGCUCUCUAGUACGGUACUGACGCUGAGACGCGAAAGCGUGGGGAGCGAACAGG
rnacentral:rRNA from 1 species